rnacentral:rRNA from 1 species
UGUUUAAUGCGAGACGGUUAUUCAUUUAAAUCAGAGAAUAAUGGUUGUUCUAUUAAUAUGAUUAAUAUCUUUUAUGGUCAUGCACCCUUGAAGAGUGGUCUAUUCGUAUUAAAUCUCGAUAGUAGUAAUACACAUAUUCAUAAUGUUGAAGCCAAAAGAUACAGAGUUGAUAAUGAAAGUGCAACUUAUUUGUGGCACUGUCGUUUAGGUCAUAUCGGUAUAAAGCGCAUGAAGAAACUCCAUACUGAUGGACUUUUGGAACCACUUGAUUAUGAAUCACUUGGUACUUGUGAACCGUGCCUCAUGGGCAAGAUGACUAAAACACCGUUCUCCAGUACUAUGGAGAGAGCAACAGAUUUAUUGGAAAUCAUACAUACCGAUGUAUGUGGUCCGAUGAAUAUUGAGGCUCGUGGCGGAUAUCGUUAUUUUCUCACCUUC